GAUGAAGACGUAGCGAAACGCAAUAAGUAAUGUGAAUUGCAGAAUCCAGUGAAUCAUCGAAUCUUUGAACGCACAUUGCGCCCGCCAGCAUUCUGGCGGGCAUGCCUGUUCGAGCGUCAUUUCAACCCUCGACCUCCCCUUGGGGAGGUCGGCGUUGGGGACCGGCAGCACACCGCCGGCCCUGAAAUGGAGUGGCGGCCCGUCCGCGGCGACCUCUGCGCAGUAAUACAGCUCGCACCGGGACCCCGACGCGGCCACGCCGUAAAACACCCAACUUCUGAACGUUGACCUCGAAUCAGGUAGGACUACCCGCUGAACUUAAGCAUAUCAAUAAGCGGAGGA
rnacentral:misc_RNA from 1 species